rnacentral:rRNA from 1 species
UACGUAGGGUGCGAGCGUUGUCCGGAAUUAUUGGGCGUAAAGAGCUUGUAGGCGGUUUGUCGCGUCUGCCGUGAAAAUCCGGGGCUCAACCCCGGACUUGCGGUGGGUACGGGCAGACUAGAGUGUGGUAGGGGAGACUGGAAUUCCUGGUGUAGCGGUGAAAUGCGUAGAGACCGGGAAGAACACCAGUGGCGAAGGCGGCUACCUGGACAGGUACUGACGCUGAAGCGCGAAAGCUAGGGGAGCAAACAGG